ACCAUUGCCGAGAGGUAAUGCUGAGCGUACAGAAGUCAGCAGAGGUCAUAGUAGCUGAGUUGCAGUGAAGGAC
rnacentral:ncRNA from 1 species